rnacentral:rRNA from 1 species
ACGAACGCUGGCGGCGUGCCUAAUACAUGCAAGUCGAACGCUUCUUUCCUCCCGAGUGCUUGCACUCAAUUGGAAAGAGGAGUGGCGGACGGGUUAGUAACACGUGGGUAACCUACCCAUCAGAGGGGGAUAACACUUGGAAACAGGUGCUAAUACCGCAUAACAGUUUAUGCCGCAUGGCAUAAGAGUGAAAGGCGCUUUCGGGUGUUGCUGAUGGAUGGACCCGCGGUGCAUUAGCUAGUUGGUGAGGUAACGGCUCACCAAGGCCACGAUGCAUAGCCGACCUGAGAGGGUGAUCGGCCACACUGGGACUGAGACACGGCCCAGACUCCUACGGGAGGCAGCAGUAGGGAAUCUUCGGCAAUGGACGAAAGUCUGACCGAGCAACGCCGCGUGAGUGAAGAAGGUUUUCGGAUCGUAAAACUCUGUUGUUAGAGAAGAACAAGGACGUUAGUAACUGAACGUCCCCUGACGGUAUCUAACCAGAAAGACACGGCUAACUACGUG